AAUUGAAAGUGUAGUUUCCCAAUUCGGCUGCUUUGUAGUCCCAGGGAAAAGCGUGAUGAUAGUUGUGGAAUCCUUCUCCGAAUGUGAGCGUGGCUACUGAAAUGUUUUCGGUGGCACUGAUUGUCCUGCAGAAUAAAACGUAAUAUGAGCGGCGCUGUUGACCAACCAAGUGAAGUUGAGGGACAGGACGUAUCUCAAGACGGCAAUAAUAAACGACACGUAUACUUUUUCCCUCCAAAAGUAACACGGAAUGAUGGUCGGAAUUACGAAAGUACAGAUGGGCAUAAUUGCGAGGUAAUGUCUGCGAAAUAAUUUCAUUUUUAAAUCUCGAUAGGUACUCGUUAACGUUGCGAAUUAUCGACGAGUGUAUUUUUAAAAGUUACUUUUUUUGCCACAUUACUAUGGCGUCUCGGGUUAAAUCACUCAUGUCUACGGUUUUGCCUUUAUUCAUAACGUCCGGAUGUUUUUUCACCAUCAACCAACCAAUAUGGGAGAAAAAAAAUCCGCGUUUUGAAUUGUGCGGAUCGGCAUCAGUAUCGGUGAAUUUAUGAUGUACGCGAUGGUCUCGUACCCAUUCGUAAAUGUGAUUUUGAAAAGCCAUCGUUUGGAAAAACAUCAGCAACAAACGUAAAGGCCAUUUAGCUUUGUAACAUUUAUGAGCCCAUAAACGAUGAGCACCUGCUGUAAUUCCUACAGCGCCAAAAUAUCCAACAACGAACACUAAAAAGCAUGGUUAAAGUUAGCUUUGUGUAUAUUGAAUCGAUGCCUUAUUUAAUGAGAUGAUUACUUACUGAAAAUUAUAGUGUUUCUUUUGGCUACUUGGAUCCCAUGCAUUAAUCCGUAAAGGGCUAACAGGUGUAACACAAUGAAACCAAUCACGUUUCUCCACACUAGUUGUAAUUGGUAUCUGUGUUUUUGUAUAGGUCUUCUGGGAUACGAUCUCGUUGGUAUAGGCGAUUUUAUGUUUUCUACCGAGAUUACAUCCGUGCCGGCCAAAAAUAACGAUGUUGGAGCUGUUUGUGACAUGGUUCUUUAUGUGUGCUCUGAAAAUUACAAUUUUGUUUAUUAGUUGAAUGGCAAUUGAUGGAAUCGAGAUUUUUAUUUUUUAUAAUUUUUUUUGUUUUAUUUGAGAAUAGAUACGUUUUUUAUUACAUAUAUUAUUUUUGAGUAUCAA